rnacentral:rRNA from 1 species
AAUAGAUACCCUGGUAGUCCUAGCCGUAAACGAUGAACACUAGGCGUAGUCGGUAUCGACCCCGGCUGUGCCGUAGCUAACGCAUUAAGUGUUCCGCCUGGGGAGUACGGCCGCAAGGCUAAACUCAAAGGAAUUGACGGGGGCCCGCACAAGCAGCGGAGCGUGUGGUUUAAUUCGUCGCAACGCGAAGAACCUUACCAGGGCUUGACAUGUGGCGGAAAACGGCGGAAACGUCGUCCUCCCGCAAGGGACCGUCAUGCAGGUGUUGCAUGGCUGUCGUCAGCUCGUGUCGUGAGAUGUUGGGUUAAGUCCCGCAACGAGCGCAACCCCCGUGGCAUGUUGUAUCUCUCAUGCCAGACUGCCGAGAGAAACUCGGAGGAAGGUGGGGAUGACGCCAAGUCAGCAUGGCCCUUACGUCCUGGGCUACACACACGCUACAAUGGCCGGUACAACGGGUUGCCAAACCGCGAGGUGGAGCUAAUCCCUUAAAGCCGGUCUCAGUUCGGAUUGCAGGCUGCAACUCGCCUGCA